GCCGGUGUGGUGGAACGGCAGACGCGGCGGACUCAAAAUCCGCUAUGGGCGACCAUGUGGGAGUUCGAGUCUCCCCACCGGCA
rnacentral:tRNA from 3 species